rnacentral:lncRNA from 1 species
GGGAGGGGGACUGCCUUUCCCUGGUGCUGCCUGUGAUCAGUGAUUUCUCUAGAGAGUCUGCUUCGUGACCACCGGGCCAUCACCUUGUGGCUGCCUGAUGUUUACUGGUGGUGGGGAACCCUCUCGGGCCCCGCUCCACACGUGUGACUGAGAGGGACACCUGACAGGAUUGAACGCGUGGCAGAUCAUCCGACGAGAUGGAGUGUCUGGUGGAAGGAACAUCUGACAGCCCUGAGCGUGUGGCAGAGGGAACAUCUAAGCAGACUGCAGCGAUUUCAGAAGGAACGGCUAAGAACAUCGCAUGCAGGUCGCACGGUGGGCAGAAGGAACCUCUGAGCAGAUUCCAUGGUGGGCAGACGGAAUGCCUAGGAAGAGUGCGUGGCUUGCAAAGGAAGCAUCUGGAAAGAGGGAACAUCUGGGAGAGAAAACAUCCACCAAGAUGGAGCGUUUGGCGGUAGGGAUGUCAGCGGUGGCAGAUCCAUAGGGGCCUGCAGGCAGCAACCCGAGCUCUCACCUCAUCAGAGGGAGUUUAACUGAGGGGCGUGAGGCGGAGUGAAAGAGACCGAGGCCUGUUUGAGCGCAGGAGUGCAGGUCUCCCAGAUGGUACCAGAGCAGAAAGACGAGGCAGUAAGGUAUACUUGGAAGAGGGCCAUGUGGGCAACUGGAGAGGUCGGGGGCACGCUUUGUUCGACCUUUGAGGCGAGGUCUCACACAUUGGCAGGCUUCCAAGAGCCAGGGGUUGCAUUGCUUCCUCCCCUGAGCCUUUUCUCAGGGUGGGCCAUCCACAUGGGCAGUGGCCUGUCAUCACCUGGGAGGGACCGCAGGCGUGGCGUGUUUCCUGGAGUCAUAGGGGCGCUCACAUGAGGCGUGCCUCCCUUGGCAGUCGGAUGUUGCCUGGGGAGGGUCGUAGGACAGUAAAACCCGGCCGGUUUGCCUGUGAGUGUGCAAGCAUGAGCCCCGUCACGCGCCCCCUGAGAUCUUCUCAGGGAGCUGCUAAUCGCCACCUUCCGGGGUUUCUGUCUGUCUGGGGGACCGCCCGUCCCUGGCACCGGCUCCCGGCAAUCAUUUAUUAUUUGAGACAGGUAGUUUAAUGGCAGCCUGACCCGUCGCCUCCUGGUCGCCUGAUGUGUCUGGUGGGGUGUGGGCGUGGCCCUCUCCCGCGCUGCUCCUGUCUGACCAGCCGCCCACGGUAACACAGAAACAUCUGGCAGGAUGGAGUGGUUGGCGGAAGACACAUCUGACGAGAUCGAAUGUUUUGCAGAAGAGCCAUGUGACGGGAUCCGUGGUUUGGCAGAGGAGACAUGCGAGAAGACGGAACGUUUUGUCCGAAUAGACAUCUGGCAGGGUGGAACGGAGAGAACAGGUAUGGUGGAGAGAACGUCUGAGAAGGUCGCAGGAUUCGCAGGAGCAUCGGGAAAAGAUUGCCUGCUUGCCCGAAGGAAUGGCAAGUUCCAAAGCUGUGCUGUGGGCAGUGUUUAGUUCAUGUCUGCUUUGCUGGCGGGCCGAGUAGCAACAGCUGCAGUUGGUGUGUUCUCUGAAGGCAGUAUCCGAAGGCUGGAGGGGUUGCUUUUCUUCCCAGGUGUCUUUUGAAGAGGCAGUCAAGUCAGCAGCUCGCGG